UACGAAGGGGGCUAGCGUUGCUCGGAAUCACUGGGCGUAAAGCGCACGUAGGCGGCUUUCUAAGUCAGGGGUGAAAUCCUGGAGCUCCAACUCCAGAACUGCCUUUGAUACUGGAGAGCUUGAGUCCGGAAGAGGUGAGUGGGAACUCCGAGUGUAGAGGUGAAAUUCGUAGAUAUUCGGAAGAACACCAGUGGCGAAGGCGGCU
rnacentral:rRNA from 1 species